AGUACGAGAGGACCGGGAUGGACGCACCGCUGGUGUACCAGUUGUUCUGCCAAGGGCAUCGCUGGGUAGCUAUGUGCGGACGGGAUAAGUGCUGAAAGCAUCUAAGCAUGAAGCCCCCCUCAAGAUGAGAUUUCCCAUUCCGCAAGGAAGUAAGAUCCCUGAAAGAUGAUCAGGUUGAUAGGUCUGAGGUGGAAGUGUGGCGACACAUGGAGCUGACAGAUACUAAUCGAUCGAGGACUUAACCAAUUU
rnacentral:rRNA from 1 species